rnacentral:tRNA from 1 species
GGGGUUAUGUAUAGCUCAGUGGUAGAGUGCUUGCCUAGCAGGUGUGAGACCCUGGGUUUAAUCACCAGUAACACCA